GGAAGUAAAAGUGUAACAAGGUCUCCGUUGGUGAACCAGCGGAGGGAUCAUUACAGGACUCGCAAGACUCCUACAACCCUGUGAACUUAACUAUAAGCACGUUGCUUCGGCGGGUGUCUCGGAGGGGGUUCUCCCUCCCCGAGACGCUAAACCCGCCGGCAGCCUACUAUACUCUGUCUCUUUGCGUUGGCAUCUCGAGUACAAUCAAACAAGUUAAAACUUUCAACAACGGAUCUCUUGGUUCUG
rnacentral:misc_RNA from 1 species